UGCCGCUUAAACGGACUUUAGAAGCCGCGUUUUCAUUGGUUGAUUUGAGGGGCCUGUUCUACUUUGUAGUAUGCCGCCUUUCAAUUAGCGUCAUCGAGCGAGCGGUUUGGUGUUCAAAGCGGAGCUGAGAAAUUAAUUGCACGAAAGUACCCUGAUACAUACAUAAGCCAUGGCUAAGACAAAGACCCCCAAGGCCGAAGCUGCAGCCCCCGCACCUGCUGCACCCGCAGAGGAACCCGUUGCCACGCCCACAAAAGAAGAGAAACCCGCUAAGAAGGGCAGAGGUCGUCCCAAGGGCGGCGCAAAGAAGGCAGGCAAAAAGUCGCCUAAGAAGGCAGUGAAAAGGGCAGGCAAGAAGUAAGGAAAGGGCCAGAGACGGGAAUCUCAUUUAUACAUAGACACUUGAAACAAUAGCAGCUUACAGCCAGUCGUGGUUACCUCUCUCGUAUGUGUGCGUGUGAACAGUGAUUCGGUUGAAUUGGACACAUUAUACACCCAAAUAAGAUGGCUUUGUAAUAUAUCUUGCAAAUUUUAAUAAUGUGCCAUUUUGGAGACUACACAAUAACAUUCUCAAUCAUUUCUUACAGAAACAUUUUGUACAUUCACUUGUAUUAAUCAGUUUUUGCAUGGUGUAUACAUAUUAGCUUAUACAAGGCACCUUUAAAGCAACAUGUUCGCACAUUUGAAUGUUAGAAUUAAGGCAAUUGACAACCAGGGGAAAUUCAGAGAAUUUGGUUAAAAAUAACAUGAAAAGAAGAAAAUGACUGUUUGUUAACUGUUAUUCAGGGACAUUUUAUUUCAAUUUAAAUGCACAUUUGGCCUCUGUUUUGUUCAUGACUGAUUUCCUCUUUUAUGUAUAUUUUUACAUGUAUAUGCACAUCAAUUUGUUUUAACUUUUUUUAAUCAAUAUUAAAUUUGCUCAUCACAUCAUUUGGUGGAAUAAUUGUAUGAUAAUCAGUUAAUGAACAAACAUGAAAACAUGAAGUUUUAUGCAAAAAGCAAUAGAAAAUGACGAAAAGUGAUCAAAAUGUAAUAAAAAUGCUUAUUUUCUAUACAUUCUCAUUGUAAUGUAUUUAACAGUUUGCAAACAAGACUAUCUGUACAACAUUUGCAAUACAUUUGUAAUAAAGAAAGAUGUUGUAGAUGAUCAUCCACUGUCUUUGUCAUUCAUUACCAAACAUUGUCUACCAGUUGAAAUCGAUUAUCAUGUAUGCUUUUUGCUCAUGGUCAUAUGCAAUAGAGGUUUGCAAUGCGGCAUGUGUUUUUUUUAUGCCCCCAUUUCGAAGAAAAGGGGGUAUAUAGUUUUCGCACUGUCCGUCGGCCGGUCAGUCACACUUCGUGUCCGCUCUCUAAUUCAAAUAGUUUUCGUCCGAUCUUUACCAAACAUGGUCAGAAGUUAAAUCCAGACAAUAUCUAGGUCAAGCUCGAAUAUGGGUCAUGCCGGGUCAAAAACUAGGUCACAGGGUCACUUAGUGCAUUUCAAGGAUUUAGCAUGGUGUCAGCUCUCUCAUUGAAGUAGUUUUCAUCUGAUCUUAACUAAACUUGGUCAGAAGUUGUAUCAAGACAAUAUCUAGGUAAAGUUCGAAUAUGGGUCAUGCCGGGUCAAAAACUAGGUCACAGGGUCACUUAGUGCAUUUCAAGGAUUAAGCAUGUUGUCCGCCCUCUAGUUUAUGUGGCUUUCUGAUUUAUUUUGAUAUUCUAAGACAUUUUUUUGCCCCGAAGGAGGGCAUAUAGUGAUCGGACUGUCUGUUUGUCUGUCUGUCCAUCACACUUUGCGUUUAGAUUUCGAAAAAUGCUCAUAACUUCUAUGUUGCUUCAGAUAGCAAUUUGAUAUUUGGCAUGCAUGUGUAUAUAGACAAGGCCUUUCCAUACGCACACAAAUUUUGACCCCUGUGACCUUGAACUUAGGGUCCGCGUUUGGGUUCGAAAUCUGCGUUUAGGAUUUGAAAAAAGCUAAUAACUUCUACCAAGCGUUUACACAGUUAUACUUUAAUGUAGUGACAAAGUUACAGUUGGGGGCAUCUGUGUCCUGUGGACACAUUUCUUGUUUAACAAUGCCCUUUAAUGUGCUUUGAACAGCACAGCAGCUAUUUUAGAGAAAAUUGUUUAAUAAAAAACUCAUGGCUUCGCCAAAAAUCAA